GGAGUUAGCCGGUGCUUCUUCUGUGAGUGAUGUCCUUCCUGCCGGCUAUUAACCCGCAGGCCUUCUUCCUCACUGAAAGUGCUUUACAACCCGAAGGCCUUCUUCACACACGCGGCAUGGCUGGAUCAGGGUUGCCCCCAUUGUCCAAUAUUCCCCACUGCUGCCUCCCGUAGGAGUCUGGGCCGUGUCUCAGUCCCAGUGUGGCUGAUCAUCCUCUCAGACCAGCUACGGAUCGUCGCCUUGGUGAGCCGUUACCUCACCAACCAGCUAAUCCGACAUAGGCUCAUCCGAUAGCGCGAGGCCCGAAGGUCCCCCGCUUUCCCCCGUAGGGCGUAUGAGGUAUUAGCCUGGGUUUCCCCAGGUUAUCCCCCACUACCGGGCAGAUUCCUAUGCAUUACUCACCCGUCCGCCGCUCGCCACCAGGGAGCAAGCUCCCCGUGCUGCCGCUCGACUUGCAUGUGUUAGGCCUGCCGCCAGCGUUCAAUCUGAGCCAUAAUCAAACUCUGA
rnacentral:rRNA from 1 species